AAAUUCUUUAAACUAUUUAAAAUAAGAUCUAGACUCUAGAUCUCAAAUAUAAAAAUUGUAUCAUCACUUUUUGAAGGAUAUUCAUUUCCGGCCAUUCAUUUUUCUGUUCGUUUGAUGGACAAGAGAAUAAUAUCGAAAAUGUGUGAAAUUUGAUUUUCCGAUUGUUUAAAUAGUUUAGAUCAUGUUUAACGGUGCAGAUCAUCAAUUUGGAAGCUCUAUCAUCGAAAACAAAUCGGUAGUAAACCGAGCCGUUUACUACCGAUAGUAUUCUAGCAAAACUCAAUAUAUAUAUAUAUAUAUAUAUAUAUAUAAAGACUCCGUUGCCACCCAUUUAUUUUUAAUGAUGGAAUUCCAAUCGAUGAUCAGCACCAUUGAAUAUAAUCUAUAUCACUUGAAGUAUUUAGAAAUCAAAUUUUAUGUUUUUCCGAUAUUGUUCUCUUAUCCAUCAAAUAGGCACAAAAAUUAACGACUGAAAAUAAAUAUCCUUUAAAAAAUAAUGAUAGGAGUCUUGUAAUCAGGAUCAAGAGUAUAGACUUUUUUCUAAAUAGUUUAAAAAAAUUUCUAAUAAAAAUUCAAUUGAUUUGGAUAUUUUUAUACUGUUAAACUAGAAAACGCCUUAUAUUGACCAUUAAAAUUACAAAUUUUGAAACCCUUUAAUAUUAGGCAAUGAUGUCGAAAAGAUUUGAAAUUUAGUUUCUAGAUAUUUUAAAUAGUAUAGAUCAUAUUCAACAGUGUUGAUCGUCGAUUUAGAAGCUUCAUCAGAAAAAAUAAAUAGAUGCAUGGCAAUAGAGUCCCUUUGUUACCGAUAGUAUUAUAACUCAACUCUCUCUCUCUCUCUCUAUAUAUAUAUAUAUAAUUCC
rnacentral:lncRNA from 1 species